UGGGGAAUUUUGGACAAUGGGCGAAAGCCUGAUCCAGCAAUGCCGCGUGCAGGAUGAAGGCCUUCGGGUUGUAAACUGCUUUUGUACGGAACGAAAAAGCUUCUCCUAAUACGAGAGGCCCAUGACGGUACCGUAAGAAUAAGCACCUGCUAACUACGUGCCAGCAGCCGCGGUAAUACGUAGGGUGCAAGCGUUAAUCGGAAUUACUGGGCGUAAAGCGUGCGCAGGCGGUUAUGUAAGACAGAUGUGAAAUCCCCGGGCUCAACCUGGGAACUGCAAUUGUGACUGCAUGGCUAGAGUACGGUAGAGGGGGAUGGAAUUCCGCGUGUAGCAGUGAAAUGCGUAGAUAUGCGGAGGAACACCGGUGGCGAAGGCAAUCCCCUGGACCUGUACUGACGCUCAUGCACGAAAGCGUGGGGAGCAAACA
rnacentral:rRNA from 1 species